GUAGUCGUGGCCGAGUGGUUAUGGCGAUAGACUUGAAAUCCAUUGGGCUCUCCCUGCGCAGAUUCGAAUCCUGCCGACUACG
rfam:Danio rerio chromosome 4, GRCz11 reference primary assembly.